rnacentral:misc_RNA from 1 species
GUUCGAUCCUGGCUCCAGAUUGAACGCUGGCGGAGGAUGCUUUACACAUACUGCAAGUCGAACGCUUGGCAGCACGGACUUCGGUCUGGUGGCGGCGAUGGCGAACAGGUGGUAAUGUAUCGGAACGUGCCUAGUAGCUGAGGAUAACUACGCGAAAGCGUAGCUAAUACCGCAUACGCCCUUCAGAAGAAAGCAAGGGGACCUUCAGACCUCACUAUUAGAGCGGCCGAUAUCGGAUUGGCUGGUUGGUGGGGUAACGGCUCACCAAGGCGACGUCCAUCGCUGGUUUGGAGGACGACCAAUACUGGGACUGAGACACAGCCCAGACUCCUGAGGAGGCAGCAGUGCAGAAUUUUGGACAGUAAGGGAAACCACUGAUCCAGCCAUCCGCGUGUGCGAUGAAGGCCUUCAGGUUGUAAAAGCACUUUUGGCAGGAAAGCAGCUCAGGAUAAUACCCGUGCCAGCUGACAAACACCUGCAGAAUAAGCCUGCCGGCUAACUGCGUGCCAGCAGCCGCGGUAAUACGUAGGGUGCUGCAAGCGUUAAUCAGGAAUUACUGGGCGUAAAGCGUACCCGAGUGGUUCGGAAAAGAAAGAUGUUGAAAUCCCGAAACUUGUUUGGAACUGCAUUUUUAACUACCGAGCUAGAAGUGUGUCAGAGGGAGGUGGAAUUCCGCGUGCUUGAAGUGAAAUGCGUAGAUAUGCGGAGGAACACCGAUGGCGAAGGCAGCACUGGGAUAACACUGACGCUCGUACACAACGUGGGAGCAAGCAGGAUUAGAUCCCUGGUAGUCCACGCCUAAACAGUAUCAACUAGCUGUUGGGCCUUCGGGCCUUGGUAAAAACGGCUAACGCGUGAAGUUGACCGCCUGGGGAGGCUACAGUCGCAAGAUUAAAACUCAAAGGAAUUGACGGGGACCCGCACAAGCGGUGGAUGAUGUGCAUUAAUUCAGUGCAACGCGAAAACCUUACCUACCUUGACGUAUCUGGAAUCCCGAGAUUUGGGAGU